GAUGAAGAACGUAGCGAAAUGCGAUACGUAAUGUGAAUUGCAGAAUUCAGUGAAUCAUCGAAUCUUUGAACGCGUAUUGCGCUCUUUGGUAUUCCGAAGAGCAUGCUUGUUUGAGUAUCAGUAAACACCUCAAAGCUUUUGGAUUGUUUAAUCGAAAAGCUUUGGACUUGAGCAAUCCCAACACCAAUCUUUUUGAGAUCGGUGGCGGGUUGCUUGAAAUGCAGGUGCAGCUGGACAUUCUCCUGAGCUAAAAGCAUAUUCAUUUAGUCCCGUCAAACGGAUUAUUACUUUUGCUGCAGCUAACAUAAAGGGAGUUUGACCGUAUCGGCUGACUGAUGCAGGAUUUCACAAGGGUCGGCAACGAUUCUUGUUAAACUCGAUCUCAAAUCAAGUAAGACUACCCGCUGAACUUAAGCAUAUCAAUAAGCGGAGGA
rnacentral:misc_RNA from 1 species